rnacentral:rRNA from 1 species
UACCCAGACUCCUACGGGAGGCAGCAGUGGGGAAUAUUGCACAAUGGGGGAAACCCUGAUGCAGCGACGCCGCGUGAGCGAUGAAGUAUUUCGGUCUGUAAAGCUCUAUCAGCAGGGAAGAAAAUGACGGUACCUGACUAAGAAGCCCCGGCUAACUACGUGCCAGCAGCCGCGGUAAUACGUAGGGGGCAAGCGUUAUCCGGAUUUACUGGGUGUAAAGGGAGCGUAGACGGUCCUGCAAGCCAGAUGUGAAAGCCCGGGGCUCAACGUGGGAACUGCCUUUGAAACUGGCAAACUGGAGUGUGUGAGAGGAUAGUGGAAUUCCAGGUGUAGGAGUGAAAUCCGUAGAUAUCUGGAGGAACAUCAGUGGCGAAGGCGACUAUCUGGCACAUAACUGACGCUGAGGAGCGAAAGCGUGGGUAGCAAACAGGAUUAGAUACCCCAGUAC